rnacentral:sRNA from 1 species
GCUGGGCGUGGUGGCAUAUGCCUGUAAUCCCAAUAGCUCUGGAGGCUGAGGCAGGAGGAAUGCAAGUUCAAAGCCAGUCUCUGCAAUUAAGCGAGACCCUGCCUCUA